rnacentral:rRNA from 1 species
AACGAACGCUGGCGGCAUGCCUAACACAUGCAAGUCGAACGAGACCUUCGGGUCUAGUGGCGCACGGGUGCGUAACGCGUGGGAACCUGCCCUUAGGUUCGGAAUAACUCCCCGAAAGGGGUGCUAAUACCGGAUCAUGUCUUCGGACCAAAGGUUUAUCGCCUUUGGAUGGGCCCGCGUUGGAUUAGCUAGUUGGUAGGGUAAAAGCCUACCAAGGCGACGAUCCAUAGCUGGUCUGAGAGGAUGAUCAGCCACACUGGGACUGAGACACGGCCCAGACUCCUACGGGAGGCAGCAGUGGGGAAUAUUGGACAAUGGGCGGAGGCCUGACCCAGCAAUGCCGCGUGAGUGAUGAAGGCCUUAGGGUUGUAAAGCUCUUUUACCCGGGAUGAUAAUGACAGUACCGGGAGAAUAAGCUCCGGCUAACUCCGUG